rnacentral:rRNA from 1 species
GGGUAAAAGCCUACCAAGCCAAUGAUCUGUAGCUGGUCUGAGAGGAUGAUCAGCCACACUGGGACUGAGACACGGUCCAGACACCUACGGGUGGCAGCAGUCGAGAAUUUUUCUCAAUGGGGGCAACCCUGAAGGAGCGACGCCGCGUGGAGGAUGAAGGCUUUCGGGUUGUAAACUCCUGUCAUUUGGGAACAAGGUGCACACGUUAACUGCGUGGGUAUUGAUAGUACCAGAAGAGGAAGGGACGGCUAACUCUGUGCCAGCAGCCGCGGUAAUACAGAGGUCCCAAGCGUUGUUCGGAUUCAUUGGGCGUAAAGGGUGCGUAGGUGGCGCCGUAAGUCGGGUGUGAAAUUUCGGAGCUUAACUCCGAAACUGCAUUCGAUACUGCGGUGCUUGAGGACUGGAGAGGAGACUGGAAUUCAUGGUGUAGCAGUGAAAUGCGUAGAGAUCAUGAGGAAGACCAGUGGCGAAGGCGGGUCUCUGGACAGUUCCUGACACUGAGGCACGAAGGCCAGGGGAGCAAACGGGAUUAGAUACCCCGGUAGUCCUGGCAGUAAACGGUGCACGUUUGGUGUGGGGGGAUUCGACCCCUUCCGCGCCGGAGCUAACGCGUUAAACGUGCCGCCUGGGGAGUACGGUCGCAAGAUUAAAACUCAAAGGAAUUGACGG